AGAUCCGCCGCCGUGCCGAAAGAACUGGUAUCACUGCGAUAUAGUGGAUGACAGACUCUCCUGCGAGCUGAGACUGUGUCCCUGGUCACACGAGCCGCUGGUGCCGGCGAGUGGGAAGGCUACUGAUUGGUAUGGCUGUACGAAGACUGGGAACCAGAUCGAUUGCUACCUUAGCAGUCUUGGUGAGCGGAAGAGUCAUCCUCACAGCUGGAAGCACGUGCCGUACCCUGACUUUCACCACGAUUUCUUGCCUCAACAUGAGUACCAUGGGAUGGAGCACUAGUCCCCUGACCCAGUGCUGGAACCGAGUCAUGAUCCC